ensembl:lncRNA
UUGGGUAGAGCUGAGUGACCGAAUAUUUAUUUCCUUGACUUUAAGACAAGCUUUUUAUAUCUUUGAAAUCAAGAUGCCUCUUAAAUCAGAUUUAAGAAAUACUGUAACAAACUGCUUUUAUUGUGUCCCCUGCUAGUUUAUAUACACUUUAGCUCUUAAUUCACCAAAUACUUGCUGUUAUUAUUAUCAUCUGUAAUCACGCCCCCCCUUUUUUUUUUAAACGCCCAUUUUAAAGAUGGGAAAGGCACAAGAAGGCUUUCGUUUUCUCCAGGUAACACAGCUAGUAAUGGUGUAAAGGAAUAAGAAUAAUCCCAAAGCAAGUACUUUAGAAUCUAAUUUAGGUAGACUUUUAGCUAAAGGACACAGUUCUGGUUUUUGCGCGCGCACACACACACACACACAAAGAAAUUUCAAAUAUAAACGCGUAAAUUAAAAUAAGUCAAAAACCAAACAAAAGACAAGGAAACGGGGACUCAGCAAGGUCAAUGAGCUUGUCCAAGGUUAUACAGAAGAUAUCAGAUCCAGAAUCCAUGGCAGAUCUGUCUUGAUUCCAAAGUGCGGCUUCUUUCCACCAAACCACGCUACCAACAGACACGUGGUAAGGGGAUGCAUAAAUAUUUGAUGAAUAAUGCCUGAAAACAAAGUUGACAAGGAUGAUGGUAAAAAUAUAAAAGACAGGUUAAAAACGGAAAAGUAGUUCAGGAACUGGAAAAGGAAAAAAAAAAAGACACACAGACACACACACCCCAAUAGUUUUCAGAGCGGAGCACUCAGGCUGAGCCAAGAUGCUGGAACAAACUUUGCGCGGGGUCUUCCACCGGGAUGGUUCCCAAGGAGCCAGCCGGCCGUGGGGCACAGCAGCCAAGCCCAGCCGCCUCCCGCGCCCACGCCCUCCCGACCACGAGUCACCGGGUCGGGCAACGCGGGACAACGCCCGGAGGUCAGCCGCCUUUCCUGUCGAGCCGCUGGCUUAAAAAGAAACACAAACACGUGUCCCCGGCCGCUGCGCAGCCUCCCGUCGGGGUUGAGGGCAGCAGGGGGCUUCCCGCGGUCGGCCCGGCGGCCAAGCUCCCGAAGGCGGGAGCCUGCCGUGGUCUCAGCUCGCUGUCGGGAAGCACCUGCCGUCGCGGUCGGCCCGGCCCAACGGCGAAGCGCCUAGGGCCCGGUUCCACGUAGGCCCCAGG